CUAAAUUUUAGGGCUGAUUAGUUGAAUGUAUGUAUACCUGGCAUACCUUGAAAAGGGACCAUUUUUUGUUGAUCCUAAGCCAGCUUAACAAAGGCAAUUACACAUGUGAAAUUUUCUGGGAAACUUGUGAUUUCUAUAACAAAGGAGCCAUGUCCAUGGGCAGAGUAUAUAAAGCAGUGAGGCACGUAGGCAGCGAACACAGCAGUGUAUUCACUCACACCUUCGGAAUACAUUUGUCGCACACAAGGGAGACGAAUCGAUUUUUCGAAGCGUCGAGAAGGCAUCUGCCACCGGGUAUAAAUAGAGCUCGCAGCAGGCAUCGCACUCAUUCGAAAAAAAUAAGUGCUCAAGUGAAGUUCUCUCGUGAAACUGAAAUUUAGUUUAAAAAAAAAAAAAGUUGAUUUUGAUAUAAGUGCUAAUCUUUACAUUAGUUGUUACACACAUACCAUGCAUAUAUAUUGUUCAACGGCGAUGAAAAAGUGUGCAGAAACAUUUGGAAAGUCGAAACUGCGGAGCUAUAACAUGGCACGAAGGCUGAAAUAAUUGCUACUAUGGGUUUUUCAAGCAUUUCUGCUCUGAACAAAGAAAAUGAAAUCAGCAAAUCAGCUCGUCGUCGUCAUCAGCGUGGGCACGUCAGGCGUUUUCACAAAUCGGCGAAAUAUGGGGCCACACGAGAAACCAAACUUGGCGGUGCGAAAACCCAAGUUUUUCAUCUUUGGCUAGAAAGUUGCACUGUAGGCAGGCUCUCUGAGGCAGAUGCCAGGCGUUUGAAAUUGCUAGCCGGAGUGUGCGGAGUGUGUGUGUUGUCCUGGACUUGAGAGGAGUUUGGAUAGGAAGCCAGGUAUAAAACGCAGCGAAGACAGCUUGUUCUCUUGUUAUAUACUUGGGCGUUGAAAGUUGAUACGCGAUCGAUCGAUGUUGUAACUCGAAUGCAAUGCGUGCGAAAGGGCAUUACAACAGCUGAAAUAUGCUGUUGGUUUGGCCCCGUUAGCCGUGUGGCGAGAGUAUAUCUGAACUGCGACUGUGUGUGUGUGUCGCUAACCUACACAGGGGUACUAAACAUCGUUUUUAUCAGAUUGAUUGCGUGGAUUGAAUUUAUAGGAACCUGUAUAUCGACUUCUCUGCUCUACUACUAUGACUUGUUCAAAACAAAGGCGCACAAUUACAUAUACGUUUAUAUACGGCCUUCUAUUAUUUACCUAACAUCAUCGAACCGUUAUCAAUACCGAUCAAACAGAUAUAUAACACUGUACUGACAUCGAUCGAUAAAGAUAAAUAUCUCGUAUCUGGAUUAGCAACUGAACGAACGAGCUGAUCGGUAGUUCGUUUUAUGCAGCACAAAUUACAAACUAUAUUCCUGUUAUUUACUUAUUUUUUGUUGUAAACAUAAAACAUUUGCUAGUACACGACAUGUGCGACUUAAGUUCUUAAAUACCUGAAACUGUUAAAGAAAAAAAAAUAUUCUGUUUUUGUACACAACCCAAGAUUUAAGAAAAUUUGUCCAUUUAUUGUUGUAAAUAUACUUGUCCAUACAAACCAGUUAUAUAGAUAAUGAAUGAAGAAUAUAAGAAAAAAAGAAUGAGCUCAUCAAUACAGAAAAAGAAGCUACAAACAAAAAAGAAUAAAAGAAAUCGAAGAAGACCAAUAAAUUUCGAAACAAUU